rnacentral:rRNA from 1 species
AUGGUUCAUACUGACCUUAAUCAUUCAGCUUGGUUGAUGUUGAAUGUCAUGCCUGAUGAGAGAGCACUAAGGAUUGGACCUGCUCAUUGUGACAUAGUCCAUCUUACAGAAACUGCAGCUAACAUAACAGGCAACAUGAUGGGAGGUUCGUCCAUAAUUCCAGUGUGUGAAGGCAUAGUAAUGGAUGGCGAAAUAAAGGCUGCGCGGAGCAUACUGAAGCUCCCAGUUUUAUCUGAAGAAAUAUCAGUUUACGAACUAGUCGCGCUACUGAUGGGAGAUAACAAUAAGGAGUUGGGAUCAAAUUGCGAGGACGCUGUGAGAACUCAGAGAGCAUUUGCAAUGCUUUAUCUUUCAAUUGCACUUGCUCCUGGGCAGAAAAAAACAUGUGUGAACCGAAGCUCUUAUAUGAUGUUGAUAAUGCAUGCUGACGUGACGGAUGUCAAUUGGGGGAAAUAUGCCAUAGAUGAGAUAGUAAGUGGCGCGAGGAAACUGAACAGGAAUAACCCACUGCUCAACAUAACUUUACAUGUAUGCCCUGCAAUACUUGAGGUAAUAUAUGAAAAACGAGAAAUCUAA